rnacentral:rRNA from 1 species
UACGAAGGGGGCUAGCGUUGCUCGGAAUCACUGGGCGUAAAGCGCACGUAGGCGGAUCUUUAAGUCAGGGGUGAAAUCCCGGAGCUCAACUCCGGAACUGCCUUUGGUACUGAGGGUCUCGAGUCCGGGAGAGGCGAGUGGAACUGCGAGUGUAGAGGUGAAAUUCGUAGAUAUUCGCAAGAACACCAGUGGCGAAGGCGGCUCACUGGCCCGGUACUGACGCUGAGGUGCGAAAGCGUGGGGAGCAAACAGG